UACGUAGGGUGCAAGCGUUGUCCGGAAUUAUUGGGCGUAAAGAGCUCGUAGGCGGUUUGUCGCGUCUGCUGUGAAAUCUGGAGGCUCAACCCCCAGCCUGCAGUGGGUACGGGCAGACUAGAGUGCGGUAGGGGAGAUUGGAAUUCCUGGUGUAGCGGUGGAAUGCGCAGAUAUCAGGAGGAACACCAAUGGCGAAGGCAGAUCUCUGGGCCGUAACUGACGCUGAGGAGCGAAAGCAUGGGGAGCGAACAGG
rnacentral:rRNA from 1 species